rnacentral:rRNA from 1 species
GAUGAACGCCGGCGGUGUGCCUAAUACAUGCAAGUCGUACGCACUGGCCCAACUGAUUGAUGGUGCUUGCACCUGAUUGACGUUGGAUCACCAGUGAGUGGCGGACGGGUGAGUAACACGUAGGUAACCUGCCCCGGAGCGGGGGAUAACAUUUGGAAACAGAUGCUAAUACCGCAUAACAACAAAAGCCACAUGGCUUUUGUUUGAAAGAUGGCUUUAGCUAUCACUCUGGGAUGGACCUGCGGUGCAGUAGCUAGUUGGUAAGGUAACGGCUUACCAAGGCGAUGAUGCAUAGCCGAGUUGAGAGACUGAUCGGCCACAAUGGAACUGAGACACGGUCCAU